rnacentral:rRNA from 1 species
GACCUCAAAUCAGGUAGGACUACCCGCUGAACUUAAGCAUAUCAAUAAGCGGAGGAAAAGAAACUAACAAGGAUUCCCCUAGUAACUGCGAGUGAAGCGGGAAAAGCUCAAAUUUGAAAUCUGGCAGUUCUUUUGACUGUCCGAGUUGUAAUCUAGAGAAGUGUUACCUGUGCUGGACCAUGUACAAGUCUUCUGGAAUGGAGCAUCAUAGAGGGUGAGAAUCCCGUCUUUGACAUGGACUACCAGUGCACUGUGGUGCGCUCUCAAAGAGUCGAGUUGUCUGGGAAUGCAGCUCAAAAUGGGUGGUAAAUGCCAUCUAAAGCUAAAUAUUGGCGAGAGACCGAUAGCGAACAAGUACCGUGAGGGAAAGAUGAAAAGAACUUUGGAAAGAGAGUUAAACAGUACGUGAAAUUGCUGAAAGGGAAACGC